AUAUAAUAACAGGAUAUAGAGUAUGUCUACAUGUUAUAUCACAUUUUAAAGACUCUACUAGCCAGUCUAGUGGACAGAGAUACUUUUCUGAUUACUAUUUCAGUAAUUUUAAUUGAACUUGAUUUUGCAAGUUCAAUUUAUUUUCUCCACGGAUAAGUUUUAGUGGAACUUUAAUUCUUUUCGGUUGUCUUCACUGUUCAUUUAAUUAGAGAGAGAGAAGCAAGUGUGUUAUAUUAAUCCCUUGGUCUUGUGAUUAUUCAAUGCAGGUACGAAAAGAAUAUGGCAAGUGCUUCAGACACUCAUACUGCUGUGGAGGCCUCCCAACUGAGAGUCCCCACAGUUCAGUGAAGGCAUCAACCACCAGAACCAGUGCUCGCUAUUCCUCUGGCACACAGAGUCGUAUAAGAAGAAUGUGGAAUGAUACUGUGAGAAAACAAUCAGAAUCUUCUUUUAUCUCAGGUGACAUCAAUAGCACUUCAACACUUAAUCAAGGUCAGUUAUCAGGAAAAUUUGAGUUACUACCAUUUAUUAAAGUACAUAUAAGUUC
rnacentral:lncRNA from 1 species